rnacentral:rRNA from 1 species
CUACGGGAGGCAGCAGUGGGGAAUAUUGCACAAUGGGCGAAAGCCUGAUGCAGCAACGCCGCGUGCGGGAAGAAGGCCCUAGGGUUGUAAACCGCUUUCAGCAGGGAAGAAAAUGACGGUACCUGCAGAAGAAGGUGCGGCCAACUACGUGCCAGCAGCCGCGGUGACACGUAGGCACCAAGCGUUGUCCGGAUUUAUUGGGCGUAAAGAGCUCGUAGGCGGUUCAGUAAGUCGGGUGUGAAAACUCUGGGCUCAACCCAGAGACGCCACCCGAUACUGCUGUGACUUGAGUGCGGUAGGGGAGCGGGGAAUUCCUAGUGUAGCGGUGAAAUGCGCAGAUAUCAGGAGGAACACCAGUGGCGAAGGCGCCGCUCUGGGCCGUAACUGACGCUGAGGAGCGAAAGCGUGGGUAGCAAACAGGAUUAGAUACCCUGGUAGUCCACGCCGUAAACGUUGGGCACUAGGUGUGGGUCUCAACCAACGAGAUCCGCGCCGUCGCUAACGCAUUAAGUGCCCCGCCUGGGGAGUACGGCCGCAAGGCUAAAACUCAAAGGAAUUGACGG